GCCUUUUGUAAUAAGAAUACCACUGAAAGCAAACAUUAAUCAAUCAAAGGACUGUCUAUUCCAGAGUCUGAGAUUCAAACCAGGCCUAGUGUAUUGAAUAACGCAAAAUUGCUCCGAAUGUGUCUUUUAUUAAGAAUGUAAUUUUGAAUUUCUUCACAUUAUACAUACAUAAAAAGCAUUUCUCGGCAAAACAUGUAAAUUACACAAAUAUUUGUAUGGUGACAUUAUUUUAUAACGAUUGUAGAAAAUUGACUAUAAACAAUUUAUAAUCUUUGUUAUAAUACUAAAAUACAUGCUGUUAUAACAAAUGUAAAAAAUGUAAAACACACGUCACAUAGCACUUUUUAUGAUAAAAUUAAAAUUGUUAGCACUUAAAAAACAGUAGAGUUAUCUGUCUUCUUACAAUGAUCGUGGUUAAUAUAAAGUAAACUUUUUCAGAUGUACCGUGUACAAAAAAAAUAACAUUAAAGGCAUCAUAGAUAUAAUUGUAAUAAUUCUUUUAUGAUUGUAUUAGCAUUACUUAAAAGAGAAGUGAAAAGAAUUCAUUGCAAUGGUACAGCAAUUUUUAAAACACCUUAUACUGCAUGCUCUGAAACAUCGGAGACAAAGGGACCCAUACAUUA
rnacentral:lncRNA from 1 species